ensembl:processed_transcript RIKEN cDNA 2010204K13 gene
AAGUCAGCCGUGCCGCAACACGUGUUAAUAAGCAGAGACUCGAGCUUCCUCCAAGUUUGGACCUUAGUGGGCCGGAUGAUUUGGAACUUGGAGAACUGAGAAAUAAAAACGGGUGUGAUUUUGCCAGCUGAAGGCAGUUUACAUUCGGAGUUCCGCGGACUCUUCAGAGGCUGUAAAAAUGCCGGAGUCACGAAAGCCUGCAAAGAGCUGUUGCUUGCCUUGCUGCUGCUGCUGCUACUGCCGUCCCUGCCCGUGCUGCAGCUGCUACUCCUGCUGCUGCUGCUGCUGCUUGUUGCUGAUUGUUGCGGUUGCUGGUUGCUGUUUACUGUUUGCUGCCGGCUGGAUUGCUGGAUUGCUGAUUGCCAGUCGGCGAAAUCCUGGCGAUGAAGAUCCAACUUGCCCCAAGAAACAAGACGACCCUAAGAAGUAGUCUAAUGAUUUCAAUACGCCCUUUCCCCCUCUGACCUUUCUCUCUUACCUUAUGCUGGGGGAUUGGAAGGGUGGCAGAAAAAAGAACCCAAUAAAGUAGCCAAAAGUAAA